ACAUACUACAGAGAGUUACCCAGACACUAUUAUGACUGGCAGAAAAAGACAUACAGCUCUGUUGGUGGUGCCAUUUUGCCACAGGAGACUCUGGUUUGACGCACCCCAGGCAAGGCCUCUGCAUGCAACACCCAAGAACAAAUGAGACUAGAUGAAGAACAAAGGAAAAGGAAGAAGGUUAGACUUUAUUUCAUUACCCAGAUUCUGUUU
rnacentral:lncRNA from 1 species